UGGGGAAUUUUGGACAAUGGGCGAAAGCCUGAUCCAGCAAUGCCGCGUGUGUGAAGAAGGCCUUCGGGUUGUAAAGCACUUUUGUCCGGAAAGAAAUCCUUGGCUCUAAUACAGUCGGGGAUGACGGUACCGGAAGAAUAAGCACCGGCUAACUACGUGCCAGCAGCCGCGGUAAUACGUAGGGUGCAAGCGUUAAUCGGAAUUACUGGGCGUAAAGCGUGCGCAGGCGGUUUGCUAAGACCGAUGUGAAAUCCCCGGGCUCAACCUGGGAACUGCAUUGGUGACUGGCAGGCUAGAGUAUGGCAGAGGGGGGUAGAAUUCCACGUGUAGCAGUGAAAUGCGUAGAGAUGUGGAGGAAUACCGAUGGCGAAGGCAGCCCCCUGGGCCAAAUACUGACGCUCAUGCACGAAAGCGUGGGGAGCAAAACAGGAUUAGAUACCCUGGGUAGUCCACGCCCUAAAACGAUGCCAACUAGUUGUUGGGGAUUCAUUUCCUUAGUAACGUAGCUAACGCGUGAAGUUGACCGCCUGGGGGAGUACGGGUCGCAAGAUUAAAAACUUAAAGGAAUUGACGGGGUCAUAGCUGUUUCCU
rnacentral:rRNA from 1 species